GGGAGACUGGGCCUGGGCUGAUUGUUUUCACCUGCCCUUUCCCUCACCUGGUGACUCUGAAUGGGAGACAGAAAGAACCCCAGGGCUUGCCACUUCUCUUUGUUCAUGACAAAGUCUUUGAACAGUCAGCCUUUGGAGAUUUCCCACGAAUGACUUUUGCCGAAUGAAAGAAAGCGGAGGAUGAUAUUACAGCAGGGAGACAUCAAAGCCAAGCGACUCCCAUCUUGGUCCGUCUGUGUCUGCCACCCUGGGUAAAGUGUCGAGACAAUCCGGGCCAAAGCUUUAUUUUUGCAUUUUGAACUGUUUGUAGAAAUUGAAGUAAGCUGAAGACAAGGGGGAAUCAAGGAAAACUGGGACAUUUCAAUAACAGCUGAAAAAGUGGGAUGACAGAGGAUUAAUAGGAACUGUCCUUGCCAAAUCAGAACAGUUGGUUAUUGGCUUUAUUCUUGAAGUAUAUAUUUUGGGCAAAGAGAGCUUCUGCAAAGGAAUCAUUCACAAAAGGUGUACAAUACAAACAGAUCAAAGCCACUCUGGAAACGGCACUCUUCGGCUUGAGCUCCUAGAAACAACUUGCUGCAACCAAGAUUGUAGAUAAACACCGGAAGCCACAGUGUUAUAGUGAGGAGGAGGAAGAUUGAUGCAUAGUAAUGUCGGAAAGGAGAUGCCUGGAUGGCACAACUUUCGUCUGUGCCGAUUUUGGCAAGGAGGCCUCUAUUAAUCUUCUAGUGUCCCAUAACUGCAGCAGCUUUUAAAAUGUCACAGUUUCCUACUCCUACUUCCCUUUUUUUGUCCUCAGUUUACUUCAGUCACUGCAAAUUAGGUUCCAAGCACACAAGUAAUUGAAUCUGGACUCAAUUAAUUGGGAUUAGAGGCACAGGAUCCCCAUGAACCUGAAAAAUGGCGAAUAAAGAAAUUUUAUAACUUGAGAGAAGAUAUCUCUAAGAAUUUCUAGGACAUUCAGCAUGACUCUAUGUUCAAC
rnacentral:lncRNA from 11 species